GCCACCACCACCACCUCCUCGAUCUCAUUGCUGUCGUAGUCCUCUUCUCUAAUGCACCCUCAGUGGUGGCCUAGCUCACCAUCGGUGAUGCGGCAGCAAUGCAAGCCCUUGCCAAGUGUCUUGAUCGAGCCAGCAUGCUUGGCUAGUCAGGCUCCUCCAACCCCUGUGGCUAUUGGGAUGCCAUCCGUUGCUCCAAUGACCACAUCACUGUUAGCC
rnacentral:lncRNA from 1 species